AGCUUUAUAAUUUAAAAAAUAAUAUUAAAUUGCAAAUUUAAAAAUGGUUAGUAUACCUAAGGCUU
rnacentral:tRNA from 1 species